AAAAAGCAACAGAAUAUAUAAAGCUCCUCUGAUUAACAGUUUAGGUGCAGAACCCUAUUUAUAGGGUAUGCGCUCUCCUAUAACGCCUCGAUCCUCCAGCCCAUAGCGGUACAUUAUUGAUGCAGCUGCAAGUGCUCAAAGCUUAAACAAUAUUUUUUCCGAAAGCCCCAGCAGCCCGCCCGGGAGGAAGGUGGGGACGGGCUGGCGAUGGAGUCCUGAAUGUUACUCCUCCAGUUUCAAGGACAUCUUGCUGAUGAGGAUUUGGUUAAUGGAGGAGAACUUAUGUCCUAGCGGUGACGUCAUUGGGUCCCAAUGUAAUCCUCUUGUGCUGAACCCAAUCAGCAGAUGUGCUGAGAGCCGGGAUGCGGAGAAGAAGCUCUAAUCCCUUAGACUGGAUGAGAUCAGCUGAAACAGCCAGGACUAGACCCCAAACCCCUCUGCUAGGAAGAUCAAGAGAAAAGGGAUAAAUUGAGAGAGACGCCUCAUAACCCCUUUAAAGAGCUUUGGAGAAGAGAAGAGAAAGAUGGGUGGUGCACCAAGUUCAUCUUGCUUUUAAAGCCUAGCGGGAGCCUGGUUUUCACUCUGAUGAGGUCCUUCUGCAUUGUUCCAGGGCAGGAGGAGAGAGGAAAAAAAAAAAAAAAAGAGAGAGAGAAAAGGGAAAAAAAAAAAAGAGAGGAAAAAAAGUCUGAAAUUCAAAGAUAAUGAGAGACUAGGCGCUUUUCUUAUUCAUCUCCAGCUUGCCUACACAAAAACAAGCGUCCUGAGCCACGGGAGGGCGUUUGCACUGGAUCUGAGCGAGGCAGCAGAGUUUGUGCCGCCGGAGCCGCCGAGCCCUGCUUCCACUGGAGUGGCCCCGCUCGCCGCCUGCCCUGCUCCGAGCGGGGACAGCCCGAGCCCCUCUCUGCGUGUUCACAGCGGACCUUGAUUUAAUGUCCAUACAAUUAAGGCACGCGGUGAAUGCCAAGAGAGGAGCCUCACAGCUUCAUUUUCAUGGAAAUUGGGGACAUAAACCCUCUAAUUACACUUAACAACAGCCACGGAGCGAUCUAUGGAGCAUCCUCGGCCUUUUGACAAAUAGGAGUAACAAUGCCGCCAGCGCCUGGCGGGGCAGCUGUCUCCUCGCAUUAACGGGGCACUGGGGGGGGGGCUUGGGGGGGGAAAGAGGGGAGGGAGGCCCCGCUCCGGCACCGCCGGGGCUUGCGGGGGCUCCCGGCGUACAAAGGGCAGGAGGAGCGGCAGGACAAUGCGGGCAGAGCUGGGGCGGGGGGGGGGGGGGGGACCGCGGGGAGAGAGAGAGAGAGAUCCGAGGAGUGGGAUGUGGGUGAGGGGCCGGGGGUGGGGGGGGAAAUGCGGUCCCUCGUUGCAGAGCGAGGGUCGUGUUCCCCCCCCCCCAGCCAUGCAAAGGGACCCCCCCCCCUCCCAAGAGCAAGGGACAUCCCGCUCCCCUUCCCAGCUCUAGGAAAGGAGCGCAGGCCUCCGCAAUGCCGUUCAGAAAAAAGCACCCCUUUGGAGGUUUUUUUGGGGAGGGGGGUGCUUUUUGCCUUUUUUUUUUUUCCCCACUCGCUUUUUUUUGUUUGUUUGUUUUUUCUUUUUGCCGUUACCCCCCUGCAGCCCUGCUCCCGCGUCCCUCCAUUGCGCUCGGGCUCGGCCAUGCGGCCCCCGCUGCGCUGCGCUGCGGAGCCGCAACACGGGUCCACAGUCCUGUCCUGCCUGUCUGACCACCCUCACAGCCCCUUUGCAACCCAACUGUUCGCAGAACUAAAUUAUGAGCCUGCUUUUUUCCAAAAGCCGGACAGGUCCGGCAAGGCGAGGGGCUGCAGCACCGCAGCCGCCCCAGUGCCACCUCCGACCCCGAGGGGCUCCGUCACCGCAGCCUGCAAGGUGGGACGCAUCCCCUUUCGCGGUCUCCAGCGAGACUGCGGUAGCCCACGUCGGUUCUUAGGUUAGGCUUUAGACCUCAAUAAAUCUCUGUUGUAAGA